UAUUUCUGUGCGUUUCAGGCGAGACUCCGUACAAAUGUUCGCAGCCUAAAUGCGAUGCCAAAUUUGUCACAUCCUCUGAACUGAAGAAACACAUGCGGCGACUUCACCCAGAGGGGAACAGCGGCGUGCAGUGCCUGCUCUGUGGAAACAGAUUUGCCAGCGUGAAGAACAUGAUCAAACACCAGGACAAAGCUCACGCCGACGAAGUUCGGCAACACAAGGAGAGAGCCCGAGCCGUGGUCCUGCUGUCCACCAGCCAUCCCGUGGCCUUCGUCCAGAGCAAGCUCUCCCAGGAGAACAAAGGUUUGGGCUCCAUCCCUGAGUGCGAGCCGGCCAACCCUGAACCGGCCACUCCCAACCCUAAAGCCACCGACCCCGCCGCGGUUUCCUCUGAUGCCACCACCACUGACUCUGCUACAACCACGACCGCCACCAGCGUGACUGCUGACAGCGCCACGGAUGCCGCCGCCAUCAUCCAGGACUUCAAGGCAGAGCCCACACACCCCCCUCUCACCACCGCAGAGCAGGUGACCUUCGACGCCGAUCAGGAGCAGACCAUCAACUCGGACACGCUGCACGCGCUGGUGGAGCAGCUGCGGCCGCCGCCUUCACCCGCACAGACGCUGGAGCAGAUUGUCAUCAUCAAGACGGUGGAUAACAUGGACAACAUGCCCCCUCAGCAGUGA
rnacentral:lncRNA from 1 species